AGGUCGGUUAGCUUCUAAAAGAAACCGAUCGGUUUUGGUGAAUUUAAAUCCUUUGGCUGGUUUAACGCUUCAAGGUUAACGCUUUAGCUGGACUUAGGAUAUACCUAAUCUCCACACUAAUCACGGCGACAAUCCAAACAGAGUGAGGAGCUGAUAAAGUUGGUUAAGGAUGCCUCACAGAACACGGCCAUUGAUGGGACUGUUACUUUUCACAGGAAUAAACGCGGUUCUGGUGCAGACCAUUACUCCAGUUUAUGACUUUGUCUGCUUCUUGCCUUACUGGGAGAGACGGAGACAACGAAUCCGGCAGGAGCUUCAAGCAUCUUCAUUCUCAGUUGGCACAUACUCAACACAUAAAGCUACUAGUACUACUCAAGCAUCUGCUAGAUGAUUCUCUCCAGAUAGUUUCAUCGCCCAUCCAAAUAUUCACAUGAUCUUCCCCAUAUAUACCUCAACACCAAAAAGGUUAGGACAUUUUGCUUGCAGCCCUUGAAUGUUAGUUAAACUCUACCCCCUUCUGUCUUUCGAUAAGAUGUUAUGAAGAACCAGAAUCGGUCAGUUACACUUGCCAAAAUAAUAAGUCCAAGAAAAACGUGGUUUAAAAGUUUGAAACAUUUAACCAAAAAAAAGAAGCUCGAGAGACGUAAAUAUACAAAGACUAACUCCGCCCAUGUGGGUGUUGGUUUUGACUGUGUACUUUGUUCAUCGACAAACUUUGACAUGUACUCACCUCAAUGUUUUUAAUGCUUUCAUGUGCAUAAAGUUUGUUAGUGUCACAACAAUAAUAGUUAAAACUUCAUCUCAAGCCUAAAUUAUUGUAAAUAUUAGAAAGAAUAGAUAAAGAUAAUGCAAAACAUAUGUGUUGUGUGAUGGAGACGAGCCCAUUUUGGAAGAGGUCACAACAAAUGUCGCAACUAGAGACUAUCUUGAUAAUCUAGAGUUGUGUCUUUUUGACUUUAAUGCUAUAAUCGGACAAUACAUAUGAAUCAUGAUGUAUCAGGCAAUGCAAUAAUGUCUUUGUUCAAUAAUUUUCCUAACUAGAGAUGUGACAACUUGUCACUGACAGCAUAUAACUCGUGUUUAAGCCGAUGUGAUGAUAUCCUGUGGAUAUUUGACUGUAUCCAUAGUUGCAAUACUUUAAGGUUAUGUGUAUUCCUAUGUAAUGAAACAUCUUGUCACUCGUGU